AAAACUAUUUUCUGNAGUGCAGAGANGGGAAGCGGAAUUCCUAGUGUAGCGGUGAAAUGCGUAGAUAUAGGAGGACANCCAGUGCGAAAGGCGGCUUUCUGGACUGUAACUGACGUGNAGGCACGAAAGUGUGGGGAGCAAACAGGAUUAGAUACCCUGGUAGUCCACACCGUAAACGAUGGAUACUAGGUGUAGGAGAUGAUUUCAUCAUCUGUGCCGAAAGCAAACGCAAUAAGUAUCCCACCUGGGGAGUACGGCCGCAAGGUUGAAACUCAAAGGAAUUGACGGGGGCCCGCACAAGCAGUGGAGUAUGUGGUUUAAUUCGAAGCAACGCGAAGAACCUUACCAGGGCUUGACAUAUACAGUAAUAUCAUAGAGAUAUGAUAGCUUUUCGGAGACUGUAAACAGGUGGUGCAUGGUUGUCGUCAGCUCGUGUCGUGAGAUGUUGGGUUAAGUCCCGCAACGAGCGCAACCCUUGUGAUUAGUUGCCAGCACGUAGAGGUGGGAACUCUAAUCAGACUGCCGGUGAUAAAUCGGAGGAAGGUGGGGACGACGUCAAAUCAUCAUGCCCUUUAUGUCCUGGGCUACACACGUACUACAAUGGUCGUAACAAAGAGAGACGAAGCAGUGAUGCAGAGUAAAACUUAAAAAGCGAUCUCAGUUCGAAUUGAAGGCUGAAAUUCGCCUUCAUGAAGUCGGAAUUGCUAGUAAUGGCAGGUCAGCAUACUGCCGUGAAUACGUUCCCGGGCCUUGUACACACCGCCCGUCACACCAUGAGAGUUGGAGAUACCCGAAGCCUAUGAGCUAACUUUUAGAGGCAGUAGUCGAAGGUAGAAUCAAUGAUUGGGGUGAAGUCGUAACAAAGGUAGCCGUAAAGCC
rnacentral:rRNA from 1 species